GUGUGAACAUGGAAAAAGGAUUGGGUUGAUGGAAGAAGACCCCAUCUCUAGUCUAAUUGGACCGUGAGUGGAAAACAAAGAUGUGGCACGUUUUUGCGUAAGAUCUGGCUGGCACGUGCUCGCCCACCUCUGGACUUCGGGCUUUGCUCUCAUUCAACUGUAUGUCAUGGUCCCUGAUGCAUGUGCAUCACCCUUGUCACCCGUCUGAGGACAGGACCUGGUGCCUUCAUCUCUGAAAUCUCCCAGCAUGCCGAGCAGCAGGUGGCAGACAGCACUUAACAGGGGUCAGAAGGAUGGUUCAACCUUGGAGCAGUCAGCCAGUCUCUCAGUUUCCACACCUGUAAAAUGGAUGCAGUGCUGUCUAUCCAUCCUCCUUCCUAAAGUUUCAGAGUCUCCAGUUCCUGCUACGUACUACCACUAAUCGGGUCUUUGCUUUCUCCCAGCCAGUCUGUUAGUAGGUAAGACCUGAGGUGAGGCCCUUGCACCAGCGUCACCUGGGACUAUGUUAGAAACGUGGACUCUCAGGCCUCACACCAGAUCCACCGAACCAGGAUCCACAUUCUACCAGGCUCCCCAGGAAAUCCACGUGCACGCUGAGAAGGCCUUUUCUAGAUUGCAACUGACACACAUUAAACAUAAGAGUGAGCGAGA